rnacentral:rRNA from 1 species
GAUGAACGCUGGCGGCGUGCCUAAUACAUGCAAGUCGAGCGAACGGACGAGAAGCUUGCUUCUCUGAUGUUAGCGGCGGACGGGUGAGUAACACGUGGAUAACCUACCUAUAAGACUGGGAUAACUUCGGGAAACCGGGGCUAAUACCGGAUAAUAUUUUGAACCGCAUGGUUCAAAAGUGAAAGACGGUCUUACUGUCACUUAUAGAUGGAUCCGCGCUGCAUUAGCUAGUUGGUAAGGUAACGGCUUACCAAGGCAACGAUGCAUAGCCGACCUGAGAGGGUGAUCGGCCACACUGGAACUGAGACACGGUCCAGACUCCUACGGGAGGCAGCAGUAGGGAAUCUUCCGCAAAGGGCGAAAGCCUGACGGAGCAACGCCGCGUGAGUGAUGAAGGUCUUCGGAUCGUAAAACUCUGUUAUUAGGGAAGAACAUAUGUGUAAGUAACUGUGCACAUCUUGACGGUACCUAAUCAGAAAGCCACGGCUAACUACGUG